AGUGAACGCUGGCGGUAGGCCUAACACAUGCAAGUCGAACGGCAGCACAGUAAGAGCUUGCUCUUACGGGUGGCGAGUGGCGGACGAGUGAGGAAUACAUCGGAAUCUACUUUUUCGUGGGGGAUAACGUAGGGAAACUUACGCUAAUACCGCAUACGACCUACGGGUGAAAGCAGGGGAUCUUCGGACCUUGCGCGAUUGAAUGAGCCGAUGUCGGAUUAGCUAGUUGGCGGGGUAAAGGCCCACCAAGGCGACGAUCCGUAGCUGGUCUGAGAGGAUGAUAAGCCACACUGGAGCUGAGACACGGUCCAGACUCCUACGGGAGGCAGCAGUGGGGAAUAUUGGACAAUGGGCGCAAGCCUGAUCCAGCCAUACCGCGUGGGUGAAGAAGGCCUUCGGGUUGUAAAGCCCUUUUGAUGGGAAAGAAAAGCAGCAGGUUAAUACCCCGCUGUUCUGACGGUACCCAAAGAAUAAGCACCGGCUAACUUCGUG
rnacentral:rRNA from 1 species